rnacentral:rRNA from 1 species
AUACGAGGGGUGCAAGCGUUAUUCGGAAUUACUGGGCGUAAAGGGUGUGUAGACGGCGUAUUAAGUCUGUUGUUAAAUCCUCCGGCCUAACCGGAGAUCUGCGGUGGAAACUGAUAUGCUAGAGGAUGGAAGAGAGAAGUGGAAUUCCCGGAGUAGCGGUAAAAUGCGUGGAUCUCGGGAGGAACACCAAUGGCGAAGGCAGCUUCUUGGUCCAUUCCUGACGUUGAGACAUGAAAGCGUGGGGAGCAAACAGGAUUAGAAACCCCAGUAGUCC